rnacentral:rRNA from 1 species
GGCGGGUGCUAUACAUGCAGUCGACGAACUCUGGUAUUGAUUGGUGCUUGCAUCAUGAUUUACAUUUGAGUGAGUGGCGAACUGGUGAGUAACACGUGGGAAACCUGCCCAGAAGCGGGGGAUAACACCUGGAAACAGAUGCUAAUACCGCAUAACAACUUGGACCGCAUGGUCCGAGCUUGAAAGAUGGCUUCGGCUAUCACUUUUGGAUGGUCCCGCGGCGUAUUAGCUAGAUGGUGGGGUAACGGCUCACCAUGGCAAUGAUACGUAGCCGACCUGAGAGGGUAAUCGGCCACAUUGGGACUGAGACACGGCCCAAACUCCUACGGGAGGCAGCAGUAGGGAAUCUUCCACAAUGGACGAAAGUCUGAUGGAGCAACGCCGCGUGAGUGAAGAAGGGUUUCGGCUCGUAAAACUCUGUUGUUAAAGAAGAACAUAUCUGAGAGUAACUGUUCAGGUAUUGACGGUAUUUAACCAGAAAGCCACGGCUAACUACGUGCCAGCAGCCGCGGUAAUACGUAGGUGGCAAGCGUUGUCCGGAUUUAUUGGGCGUAAAGCGAGCGCAGGCGGUUUUUUAAGUCUGAUGUGAAAGCCUUCGGCUCAACCGAAGAAGUGCAUCGGAAACUGGGAAACUUGAGUGCAGAAGAGGACAGUGGAACUCCAUGUGUAGCGGUGAAAUGCGUAGAUAUAUGGAAGAACACCAGUGGCGAAGGCGGCUGUCUGGUCUGUAACUGACGCUGAGGCUCGAAAGUAUGGGUAGCAAACAGGAUUAGAUACCCUGGUAGUCCAUACCGUAAACGAUGAAUGCUAAGUGUUGGAGGGUUUCCGCCCUUCAGUGCUGCAGCUAACGCAUUAAGCAUUCCGCCUGGGGAGUACGGCCGCAAGGCUGAAACUCAAAGGAAUUGACGGGGGCCCGCACAAGCGGUGGAGCAUGUGGUUUAAUUCGAAGCUACGCGAAGAACCUUACCAGGUCUUGACAUACUAUGCAAAUCUAAGAGAUUAGACGUUCCCUUCGGGGACAUGGAUACAGGUGGUGCAUGGUUGUCGUCAGCUCGUGUCGUGAGAUGUUGGGUUAAGUCCCGCAACGAGCGCAACCCUUAUUAUCAGUUGCCAGCAUUAAGUUGGGCACUCUGGUGAGACUGCCGGUGACAAACCGGAGGAAGGUGGGGAUGACGUCAAAUCAUCAUGCCCCUUAUGACCUGGGCUACACACGUGCUACAAUGGAUGGUACAACGAGUUGCGAACUCGCGAGAGUAAGCUAAUCUCUUAAAGCCAUUCUCAGUUCGGAUUGUAGGCUGCAACUCGCCUACAUGAAGUCGGAAUCGCUAGUAAUCGCGGAUCAGCAUGCCGCGGUGAAUACGUUCCCGGGCCUUGUACACACCGCCCGUCACACCAUGAGAGUUUGUAACACCCAAAGUCGGUGGGGUAACCUUUUAGGAACCAGCCGCCUAAGGUGGGACAGAUGAUUAGGGUGAGUCGUAACAAGAGCCG